AGAUAUUAUUAUGCAUCUAGACAUAUAUACUAUAUCUAAGUGCAUAGUAAAAACUAUACAUCUAGAAAAACUAAAAUAAUCUUCAAUUUGGAACGGAGGAAGUAGCUACUGCCUUAAUCGAUAUUAAGGUCCGGUUGAAUGAACCCAAACACAAACAGCUACGUAGGCAAGUUCAGCUGGCUUUGUUGCCCAAGUAGUGUAGAUAGCAACAUUUAG
rnacentral:lncRNA from 1 species